GACGAACGCUGGCGGCGUGCUUAACACAUGCAAGUCGAACGGAAAGGCCCUGCUUUUGUGGGGUGCUCGAGUGGCGAACGGGUGAGUAACACGUGAGUAACCUGCCCUUGACUUUGGGAUAACUUCAGGAAACUGGGGCUAAUACCGGAUAGGAGCUCCUGCUGCAUGGUGGGGGUUGGAAAGUUUCGGCGGUUGGGGAUGGACUCGCGGCUUAUCAGCUUGUUGGUGGGGUAGUGGCUUACCAAGGCUUUGACGGGUAGCCGGCCUGAGAGGGUGACCGGCCACAUUGGGACUGAGAUACGGCCCAGACUCCUACGGGAGGCAGCAGUGGGGAAUAUUGCACAAUGGGCGGAAGCCUGAUGCAGCAACGCCGCGUGCGGGAUGACGGCCUUCGGGUUGUAAACCGCUUUCGCCUGUGACGAAGCGUGAGUGACGGUAAUGGGUAAAGAAGCACCGGCUAACUACGUGCCAGCAGCCGCGGUGAUACGUAGGGUGCGAGCGUUGUCCGGAUUUAUUGGGCGUAAAGGGCUCGUAGGUGGUUGAUCGCGUCGGAAGUGUAAUCUUGGGGCUUAACCCUGAGCGUGCUUUCGAUACGGGUUGACUUGAGGAAGGUAGGGGAGAAUGGAAUUCCUGGUGGAGCGGUGGAAUGCGCAGAUAUCAGGAGGAACACCAGUGGCGAAGGCGGUUCUCUGGGCCUUUCCUGACGCUGAGGAGCGAAAGCGUGGGGAGCGAACAGGCUUAGAUACCCUGGUAGUCCACGCUGUAAACGGUGGGUACUAGGUGUGGGGUCCAUUCCACGGGUUCCGUGCCGUAGCUAACGCUUUAAGUACCCCGCCUGGGGAGUACGGCCGCAAGGCUAAAACUCAAAGGAAUUGACGGGGCCCCGCACAAGCGGCGGAGCAUGCGGAUUAAUUCGAUGCAACGCGUAGAACCUUACCUGGGUUUGACAUGGAUCGGGAGCGCUCAGAGAUGGGUGUGCCUCUUUUGGGGUCGGUUCACAGGUGGUGCAUGGCUGUCGUCAGCUCGUGUCGUGAGAUGUUGGGUUAAGUCCCGCAACGAGCGCAACCCUUGUUCACUGUUGCCAGCACGUUAUGGUGGGGACUCAGUGGAGACCGCCGGGGUCAACUCGGAGGAAGGUGGGGAUGACGUCAAGUCGUCAUGCCCCUUAUGUCCAGGGCUUCACGCAUGCUACAAUGGCUGGUACAGAGAGUGGCGAGCCUGUGAGGGUGAGCGAAUCUCGGAAAGCCGGUCUCAGUUCGGAUUGGGGUCUGCAACUCGACCUCAUGAAGUCGGAGUCGCUAGUAAUCGCAGAUCAGCAACGCUGCGGUGAAUACGUUCCCGGG
rnacentral:rRNA from 1 species